rnacentral:rRNA from 1 species
AUUGAACGCUGGCGGCAGGCCUAACACAUGCAAGUCGAGCGGAUGACGGGAGCUUGCUCCUUGAUUCAGCGGCGGACGGGUGGGUAAUGCCUAGGAAUCUGCCUGGUAGUGGGGGACAAUGUUUCGAAAGGAACGCUAAUACCGCAUACGUCCUACGGGAGAAAGCAGGGGACCUUCGGGCCUUGCGCUAUCAGAUGAGCCUAGGUCGGAUUAGCUUGUUGGUGAGGUAAUGGCUCACCAAGGCGACGAUCCGUAACUGGUCUGAGAGGAUGAUCAGUCACACUGGAACUGAGACACGGUCCAGACUCCUACGGGAGGCAGCAGUGGGGAAUAUUGGACAAUGGGCGAAAGCCUGAUCCAGCCAUGCCGCGUGUGUGAAGAAGGUCUUCGGAUUGUAAAGCACUUUAAGUUGGGAGGAAGGGUUGUAGAUUAAUACUCUGCAAUUUUGACGUUACCGACAGAAUAAGCACCGGCUAACUCUGUG